rnacentral:rRNA from 1 species
UACGUAGGGAGCAAGCGUUGUCCGGAAUCAUUGGGCGUAAAGCGCGCGUAGGCGGCCCUGUAAGUCCGCUGUGAAAGUCAAGGGCUCAACCCUUGGAUGCCGGUGGAUACUGCAGGGCUAGAGUCCGGAAGAGGCGAGUGGAAUUCCUGGUGUAGCGGUGAAAUGCGCAGAUAUCAGGAGGAACACCGAUGGCGAAGGCAGCUCGCUGGGACGGUACUGACGCUGAGGCACGAAGGUCAGGGGAGCAAACGGG